UACGGAGGGGGCUAGCGUUGUUCGGAAUUACUGGGCGUAAAGCGCACGUAGGCGGCUUUGUAAGUUAGAGGUGAAAGCCCAGGGCUUAACCCUGGAAUUGCCUUUAAGACUGCAUCGCUAGAAUCGUGGAGAGGUGAGUGGAAUUCCGAGUGUAGAGGUGAAAUUCGUAGAUAUUCGGAAGAACACCAGUGGCGAAGGCGACUCACUGGACACGGUAUUGACGCUGAGGUGCGAAAGCGUGGGGAGCAAACA
rnacentral:rRNA from 1 species